UCUAAGUCCCCGCACAUGUCCUUCCCUGCCCCUGAAAGCAGGGCCUGGCCAGCACUGCUUGGAGUUCCCUUCUGCCUUCUGCUCAGAUACUUAUGUACAUAUGCUGUGGGGGCAUGACUGUCUUUCAUAUUCAUUGAAGGCUCAGUAAAUAUUUGCUAAUGAAUGAAUAGCAGGUUCCCAGUCUUUCCUUGAGUCGAUCCUUCAUAGAGCUCUGACACUUCAACUUGCCACACCACUGCUUUUAGGAUACCACUGUGAAGUGCAGCUGAUUCCUCCCUUCAUGCCAGGAUUUCUAUCAAGAAUCACAAAGUCAGACACAUACAGGAAGGCAUGAGCGGGUGACAACUGGGUGGAGUGGACAGAACAGGUGAGACAACAUAAAGCAGUGGGCACUGUGGCAAGAUGCAGCGGGCAUGCCUCCCUUUUCCCCUCACAGGCAGGUAUGGCCAAAUCUUAGUGUGUUUUUCAAGAGGAGCUAGAAAUUUGGAUUUUUAAGUUGAAUCGCCUGUCUUAAAAUAUUGCCACCUAAUUCAGAAAAUUUUUAAAAACUUAGGUGCAGACCAAACAAAAUACCUUACAUAAGCCAGGUUCAGCUCACACCCAUGGUUUUGCAUCCUCCUGAGUUUUUCUGUAGAAAGUACUGUGUUUACUCACUAUAGCCCUUAACAUUAGGGAAGUGGAAUUGGAAAUAAACUAAAUGGCCAGCCGCAGGGGACUAGUUAAAGAAAUCAGUAGCUCCAGGCAGUAGAAUACUAUGCAGCUAUAAUGAAGAAUAAGGAAGCUCUUUUGGCACUGAUUUGGAAUAAGCUCCAAAAAACAAGGGGCAGAACAGGUGUCUAAUAAGCUAACAUUUGUGUAUAAACACUCAUUACAUGUUGGGACAGAAAGUACAGGGAUGGAAGGGAAAGAGACCUCACUACACCCUUUCGUAAAUUUUGAAUUUUAGACCAUAUGAAUAUAUUACAUAUUUUUAGUAUAAAUUUUUUAAAGUAGGGAGUUGCAGAAUUCAAUUUGGUAGCUGCUGUCCGGUAUGACUGCCUGGCUCACAAUUUCUCAUUCUGUGAAUACUGCCCCUUCCUGUCUGGCAGGGCAGGUGCCGGGCUAAAGUACCAAUCAGAUUCUUUCUCCUGGAAACUUGGAACCUGGAGCCCAUGCCAGGAGCUGUCAGCUUCACCUCAGUCGCAGAGAUGGAGGGAAGACCCCAUAUCCCCAAGGCAGGAGGACCAGAGUAGCCUGACUUCUGCCUUCCUGAGACUGGCUGGUUCACUUCUUGGAUUUACCAAGACCCCUCAGUAUUUUCCUUACCCAAACCUUCCCUUUGGGCUUAAUCUAGGCAGUCAGACCCUGCCAUUUGCAGCCAAAAGAAUCGCCCUGAAGCAGUGGUCGAGGGAGCUGCCUGGGGUCCCUCAGAGCAGUUAACAGCCCACCAGCCCACUCUUGUUGCAACCCCUCUUAAACCAAGAGGUUUAUGAACACAGGUUAAGUGGAAAAUACAGAAAUUUUCACUCAUACCCAAUUCCCCAAGCCAUUUCCUUUCCUGCCAGUCCAAGGUUUUCGGGUUUAAAAAGCUGAGCUCCUAACCUCAAACAGAAAGGCCCAGGGAGACCCAGAUUUGUUUAAAUCACCCAGCCAACUUAGAUAAAAGUGCCUUUGCCAGAACCAUCCCCAGGCAGCUGUCUUCCUGAUCCUUACCUUCAGGAGAAAGGGGGAUGCUGGUUUUCAGAUGCUGGUUGGAGAAGCCCAUGGGAUCCUGGGACAUGCAAGGUUAUGGUACCGCAAGGAGGGUGGGUGUUUUUAAGGCUCAGCCUCUCCCCUGAUUCCCAGUAAACACAAUCUAAUAACUGCUUGCUUUGCAAAUAACAGCUUCAAGAAAGUUCCCUAACCCCAGAACUCUUGUUUCCAAAGGACCUUUUCAGCAUUGACCCAAGAAUCAUCAUUGUCAAGAGUCAGGAAUGGGCUGCUGCCAACAGCAUCCCCUGGGCUAGGCCCGGCACCCAGAGACUCGCCAAGUAAGGCCUGUGCUCAUUUGUUAGACAUGAUCUCUCUGUAGUAACAGAACGUGCUGCACUUGUCCCCUUUGGGCCUGAUCACCAAGCCAGUCUGUCAAGGUUAAAACACAUCCAGCCCCAGGGAUUGGCCAUCUCUUAGAGCAAAGAUGCUUAGGGUAGGGGAGAGAAAGGGCCCAGUCCAGAAGGCCAGCAGCAGCUGCUGAGCCAGCAAAGCUGCCGCCAGGCCGGAGGGAGGGAGGCAAAUGCUGUGAGGUUCCCUGUGCCGGAAAUUGAGAGCUGGGGAGAAAACCGGUGUGCCACCUCCCAGGGUUGCUUUCCUCCCGGCUGAGGAUUAGCUGGAAGCUUUCUUCUGGGCUUGCAGGGAGCGGAACAGCUGCCUCAGCUGUUUCUUCCGAUCAUUGACACAACCUGGAAGAAAGAUGGUGUGCAGGUUGGGAUUGCCUGUCCUUGAGGGGAUGUGGGGAAAGCUGCAGGGCCUGUGCCUCCACUGCCUGGUGGAAGGAAGGGACAGCAGGGGCUGUGCAACUCCACGGAUGGCUUCUGGUUUGCAUCCUGGCUCUACUCUGGAACAGCCAUGGCCCUCAAACAGGCUGCUUACCUCUUUGAGCAGUAGUUUUCUCAUCUGUAAAACAGGAUAAUGACACCUGCCCUCUGGAGUGACAAUAGCUAACACUGAUUCAAUGCUUUACCACAAGCCAGGGACUGCUGAAGGUGGAUUAGCUCACCGAGCCCUACAUGCUUGGAGAGGUUAAGUAAUUUGCCCCAGAUAUACAAUAAGUAGAAGUGGGAUUUGUUGGCAAAAAAUGGCUGCUCUCUAGUUCCAGAGCUCACAAACCCAGCAACUAUCCCACACUGCUUUUCCUCAUGGUUUUUUCAAUGAAAAUGUAUUUAAAGCCAGCAUAGUGCCUGGUACAUAAUAGGAGCCCAGUGUAUGUUAGCUUUGUUCCCUUACUCAACCCCGUGUGCCAGGCAUGAUCUUCUAAGUGACAAAUCAGUCAUAGACCUUCCCCACAAGUGGCCCACAGUCCCAUGGAAGUGUGUCCCAGGCAACCCAUGCCGGGAGGCUGACAUGAGCCACGGAGGUGCCUCGUCUCCCACCCUGUCCAGGUUAUUACCUGUUUUCAUGUUUGAUCUCAAAGCUGAUCCUGAAGCAACUCCAUGGUUCAGUCUACUUUGUGCCAGGCACAUCGAGGGCACUCACAAAUGCUGGGUGAAUGAAUGAAUCCCUGUGCCCACAAAUAUUGACCUGGAGGUGCCUACCAUCUUUCUCAGCACCCCCAGACUUCAUAUCUGCCUCUGUUAGACCUCAUCAACCAUCAAGGCUUCACUGAGCUGACAGCCCACUGCAUGCACUUCCAGGGAUUUCCAAAGUGAAUUCCAUCAACACUAGCUUUAAGCAUAGUUGGCUUGUUGAUAACUCCCAAAUCUCUUGGCAUUCUACAUUUGUCUCUGAGUAUCUGCUGAUCUUUCCACUCAGAGGUCCUCAGGCACCUCAAACUCAACACGUCCUAGCUCAACUCAUCAAUACUCUUCCCAUCCCUAACCGGCUGCUUCUGUAUUCACUAUCAUCUACCCAGAGACUCAUCUGGAAACUUAGGAAUUAUUCUAGAGACUUCUAAGGCAGUAGUUCUCAACCUAGGCUACACAUUAGAGUCACCCAGGAACUUUCAAAACUACUGAUGCCCAGACCAACCACAUUGAUAUCUCAGGCAGCAGCAGUACUUUUUACAGCUCCACAGGUGCAGCCAACACUGAAAACAGCUGUUCUUCAUUUCUGCUAUGUAAACAGCACCCAGGCACCAGCAACAUUGACACCUGUGGUAGACUGUUGGCUAAGAUGGCUGCAACAAUUCCUCCUCUUCCCAUAUGCAAGCCUCUUUGCUGCUCCUCCCAUGAAAAGGUGGAGGCUAUUUCCUCACCCCUUGAAUCCUGGCUGGACCAGUGGCUUGCUUUGUCUAAUGGAAUGUGGUGGAGUAACAAUGUGUGUCUUCUGAGCCUAGGCCUCAGGAGGCCUUGCAACUUUUGUUCUUGCCCUCAUGGAACCCUGAGAACACCAAAUGAAGAAGCAGCCAGGGCUGGAUUGCUGGCGGAUGACAGGCCACAUGGAAAGAGGGGCCUGGCCAACAGCCAGCUUCAACCAGCACAUGUGUGAAUGAGGCCAUCCUAAGCUGUCAAGCCUGCAGCCCUAGGAGUGAUCCCAGAUGAGGAGACUGAAGCACAGAGAGGUUGCCUGAGUCACACAUCUGGCUCUUGACGAAGAUGUUGUCCAUGUCGCUAAAGAGCAUCUCCACUGCCUCGGGCCCGUGCUUGGACGCCAGGUACUGCCGAAAGCGCUGAAGCAUCCACUUACAACCCUGGGGCCGUGUGCAGCCGGGGUGUAGGAUGGGGACCUCAGCUACCUGGAGCCCGGCCUGCCAGGACCCUCAAACAACUGCCGUCAGCGCAGUCCUUGGUCCGGGCUUGAGGGUCACAGCCCCGAGUCCUGCAAUUAGGACUCCAGGGGCGCCCUCCUCAUAGGCCAAAGAUUCUGCAGGGCCAGAGGGCGCCUACCCACCCCAGCCUGUGCCACUCCCUCCUAGGCCACGGCCUGGGUGCCCAGGACUCCUGAAGUCCCUGACCAAAUGGCCCGUGCGGGCCUCCUCUCCAGGCCUGUUUUGCUGAGGACAGAGGGCACUGCCAUGUGCACACCCCAAGGCCCAAGGAGUGCCCAACGGGCUUCCGCGUGUGUGUGCCCAAGGCCCUCCCUGUGUGGGGUGGAAUCGGGGGAGGGGAAAGAAGGGAGAGGAGGAGGCAGGCUGGGAGCUGGGGGCCAGCUCUCCCUGAGCCCACCCUGUUCUGACCCUUAACUCCAAGAAGUCUGAGAAUUCUAAAUUUGAACCUUGCAUUGCAGUUUAUUCUGUAAGUACAUUUGUCAAGGUCAGAGCAUGGAAUAUAUAUUGUUUAAUGGUGUGUUAGCCUGAUUUGUAGCUCUUGAACAUUUGGAUAUGGUAGGUGGACCUCCAUUGGGACUCUGAACCCUGCAAAUGUGACCUUACUGGUGAAGCAGAAGACCAAGACAGUUCUGUCUGGGCUUUUUGCCACCCUGCCCUCUCCACUGCCCUCCCUUCUCCCCAUGCUUGUCCUAGAAGGUUGGACCCAUGGACAGCAGAAGCCUGACCUUCUUACCUUUUCUGGGUGGUAGUCGGGAGAUGUCUUUUGCACAGCGACAUUGGUGAGAUGAACAUCUGGCAGAGGUUGGUCAAGGGCCGGUGUGGACAAGAAGGGUGGGCCCUGCUCAUGGAGCCCCCGGGGACUGACCUAAGACCCUUGCUUGGGAAUUGAUGGGGAGGGCUACAAAACAGCCCAGAGGUCACAGGCAUGGGUUUUGGAGUCAGAGGGGCCUGGGUUCAAAUCUAGCUGUGGGAUACUGAGAAAGUCACUUAACCUAUCUGAGCCUGGUCCCCCACCUAUUAAAUGGGGGUUCACAGUAGUAUAUUUACCUCACAGGAUUAUUUGAAAGAACAGAUAAAUACUGUUAGAAAGUGCCUCUCACAGUCUCUGGCAUAGCCAAUAUUAUAUUAUGAUUUUUCAACUCAGAAGGAGAGAAUACCUUCUAACAAGCAGAAGGAUCAAAUAUAAAACAGCCAUCACAGGUCCUACUGCACUCCCUGUCACUACAGGGGUCCAGGCUUAGUGGCCACCUUGUUGGAAUAUUGGAGAAACGCUUCCAGCAUCAGGUAAGGUCAAGUCCCAGCCCUGCAAGUCUGCAUUUCGUCAUCAUCUCCAACAUCGCCACCAAUAAUAUCAUCAGCAACACUUCAGGACAUACAGAGCACAUUCGCAUGAGUUAUCUCAUUUGUUCCUCAAACUAUCCCAUCUCACAGAUGAACCUAUGAUGCUCAAAGAAAUGAAGUGACAGCCAGUCAGAACGCCCCUCCCUCCACAUCCUCCCCUCAGCUAAGCAGACAGGUCCCUCCAACCUUGUGAAAGGACCACGAGACGUGACUUUCUCCAGGACUUACUUGGGACAUUUCGCAGAUGGAGAAGUAGAGGCUGUAGGUCACUGACCCACCUCUAAUUCUGCUGAAACGUUUUUCUCUGGGUUUCAGUAUAUCGGAGAAAGUACCGUGACUUCAGCCUCUCUGGGGAAAGUUGAUAUCCUUGUUAGCAUCUUUUUCCUGAAAUGUCUGUUUUCAAGACUUUCAAAGACUUUUUUAAAAUUCACAUUUGUCUGAGAGUUUUUCCUACCUUAAUUUCAAAAGAAUAACCAUAUUCCAAGCCACUAAACAGGAAGAGAGCCUUCACAUUUACGCACAAUUGAUUUUCAACAAAUGUGUCAAGGCAGUUCAACGGAGGUAAGUAUAGUCUUCAAUAAAUGGUUGGACAACUAGAUAUCCAUGUGCAAAAGGAUGAAACUGAACCCCUACCUCACACAAUAUACAAAAAUUAACUCAUAAAAACGAAAAAAAAAAUUAACCCAAAGGGAAUCAAAGACCUAAAUAUAAGAGCUGAAAGUAUAAAACUCUUAGAAGAAAACAUAGGAGUAAAUCUUCCUGACCUUGGAUGAAGGCAAUGGUUUCAUAGAUAUGACAUCAAAAAACAAGCAACAAAAACUGUAUUUUAAAAGCAAAAGAAAAAACAGGUAAAUUAGGCUUCAACAAAAUUAAAAACUUCUGUGCUGCAAAGUACAUCACAGAGAGAGUGAAAAGGCAACCCACCAAAUUGGAGAAAAUUUUGCAAGUCAUAUAUAUUAUAAGGUACUAGUAGCCAUCAUAUAUAAAAAAACUUACAACUCAACAAUAAAAAGACAAAUAACUCAAUUUUAAGAAUGGGCAAAGGACUUGAAUAGACAUUUCUCCAGUGAGGACAUACAA